UUAAAGACUCGUAACAGAGCACUGGUUUUUACAAUUUUGUAUUGUAUUGUUAGAUGCACCUAAAAUUUACGGAUCUAAAUAAUAUACCGAGACCUUGUCCAUAAAUAUUUUUUAUGUACAAGUUACAUAGAAUAUAUAUGGGGUAGCGGAACAUUGGGCAUUUUUAGAUUUUUUCUUUUUAAGACUUAAGAUUAGGUUACCCAAGUGAUAAUGCUGACAUGAGUAACGAUAAAAGGUUUAUACCCUCGCCUAAAGGUUAUGGAAUUUACUUAAAGUAACGGCCUUUAAGUUUAAAUUUGCUAUAGUUUAAACAAACAACCCUUGAUACCUAACUUUAACAGACGAUACAAGGGCAAAAUAGUAAACCCCUAAUGGGAUAAACGAUGAGAAAAAAGUAAGUUUUACAGAAAUAAAAAGCUUGAGGGUUGCAGGUAGGUUUUUUAUAUAUAACGGAUUUUUUUUUUUUUAUUUUUUUUAUCCCAGAGCAACCAAUAUACCAGAGUUGUGCAAGGGAUAAAAAGGUAAAUAAAAUAAUUAAUAGAAACUAUAAAAAUUAUAGAUUUAAUAGUUAUUUUGUGCUAAAGUGACAAAUGCUCUGGAAAAAUGUAAAACUACUGACGUGUUAGAGAGUAGGCGAGGUUCAAUCCCUUGUCCAUAAUAAG
rnacentral:rRNA from 1 species